rnacentral:rRNA from 1 species
GAUGAACGCUGGCGGCGUGCCUAAUACAUGCAAGUCGAGCGAACAGACGAGGAGCUUGCUCCUCUGACGUUAGCGGCGGACGGGUGAGUAACACGUGGAUAACCUACCUAUAAGACUGGGAUAACUUCGGGAAACCGGAGCUAAUACCGGAUAAUAUAUUGAACCGCAUGGUUCAAUAGUGAAAGACGGUUUUGCUGUCACUUAUAGAUGGAUCCGCGCCGCAUUAGCUAGUUGGUAAGGUAACGGCUUACCAAGGCGACGAUGCGUAGCCGACCUGAGAGGGUGAUAGGCCACACUGGAGGUGAGACACGGUCAAGACGCCUACGGGAGGCAGCAGUAGGGAAUCUUCCGCAGUGGGCGAAAGCCUGACGGAGCAACGCCGCGUGAGUGAUGAAGGUCUUCGGAGCGUAAAACUCUGUUAUUAGGGAAGAACAAAUGUGUAAGUAACUAUGCACGUCUUGACGGUACCUAAUCAGAAAGCCACGGCUAACUACGUG